AACGAACGCUGGCGGCAUGCCUAACACAUGCAAGUCGAACGAGACCUUCGGGUCUAGUGGCGCACGGGUGCGUAACGCGUGGGAACCUGCCCUUAGGUUCGGAAUAACUCCCCGAAAGGGGUGCUAAUACCGGAUAAUGUCUUCGGACCAAAGAUUUAUCGCCUUUGGAUGGGCCCGCGUUGGAUUAGCUAGUUGGUAGGGUAAAAGCCUACCAAGGCGACGAUCCAUAGCUGGUCUGAGAGGAUGAUCAGCCACACUGGGACUGAGACACGGCCCAGACUCCUACGGGAGGCAGCAGUGGGGAAUAUUGGACAAUGGGCGAAAGCCUGAUCCAGCAAUGCCGCGUGAGUGAGGAAGGCCUUAGGGUUGUAAAGCUCUGUUACCCGGGAUGAUAAUGACAGUACCGGGAGAAUAAGCGCCGGCUAACUCCGUG
rnacentral:rRNA from 1 species